rnacentral:rRNA from 1 species
UGGUCAGUAGGUUGGUCGUGCCACCGGUACGUACUGGUCUCACUGAUUCCUCCUUCCUGAAGAACCGUAAUGCCAUUAAUUUGGUGUUGCGGGGAAACAGGACUGUUACUUUGAAAAAAUUAGAGUGUUUAAAGCAAGCUAACGCUUGAAUAAAUUAGCAUGGAAUAAUGAAAUAGGACGAUCGAUCCUAUUUUGUUGGUUUCUAGGAUUGACGUA